rnacentral:rRNA from 1 species
CCUACGGGGGGCUGCAGUAGGGAAUUGUUCGCAAUGGGCGCAAGCCUGACGACGCAACGCCGCGUGGAGGAUGAAGACCUUCGGGUCGUAAACUCCUUUCGAUCGAGACGAAUGGCUUCCCAUCUAACACAUGGGGAGAAUGACGGUACCGAGAGAAGAAGCCCCGGCUAACUCCGUGCCAGCAGCCGCGGUAAUACGGGGGGGGCAAGCGUUGUUCGGAAUUACUGGGCGUAAAGGGCUCGUAGGCGGCCAACUAAGUCAGACGUGAAAUCCCUCGGCUUAACCGGGGAACUGCGUCUGAUACUGGAUGGCUUGAGUGUGGGAGAGGGAUGCGGAAUUCCAGGUGUAGCGGUGAAAUGCGUAGAUAUCUGGAGGAACACCGGUGGCGAAGGCGGCAUCCUGGACCAUUACUGACGCUGAGUGAGCGAAAGCCAGGGGAG